rnacentral:rRNA from 1 species
AUACGUAGGGGGCGAGCGUUGUCCGGAAUGACUGGGCGUAAAGGGCGUGUAGGCGGCCGAUUAAGUCUGGAGUGAAAGUCCCGCUUUCAAGGUGGGAAUUGCUUUGGAGACUGGUUGGCUUGAGUGCGGAAGAGGUAAGUGGAAUUCCCAGUGUAGCGGUGAAAUGCGUAGAGAUUGGGAGGAACACCAGUGGCGAAGGCGACUUACUGGGCCGUAACUGACGCUGAGGCGCGAAAGCGUGGGGAGCGAACAGGAUUAGAUACCCUGGUAGUCCACGCCGUAAACGAUGAAUGCUAGGUGUAGGGGGUAUCGACCCCUCCUGUGCCGGAGUAAACGCAAUAAGCAUUCCGCCUGGGGAGUACGGCCGCAAGGUUGAAACUCAAAUGAAUUGACGGGG